rnacentral:rRNA from 1 species
AUGCGGAGCACCUUCCUCUUCCUCUUCCUCCCUCCCGACGACGACGCGCCAGGCAAGUCGUUUUAUAACCACGCAGCUUAUCUUGCUGAGACUCUUCUAUGGCUACCAUUCUGCACUGUGCAGGUGCAGCUGGCAGAGCCAAUGGAUCAGCCCGGCCAGCCAGCGCAGGUGCAGCUGACCGAGCCAGUGGCAGCAUCUCGGCAGCCGGCAACAGAGUCCGAUGAAAUCCAGCCAGCGUCUCCGCAGCAGGCAAUGGAGUCCAGCCACUUCCGGCCUGCGUCUGCAAUGGAUCACGGCCACGGCCAGCUUGCGCCACCGCAGCCGGUGCAGCCAUGGGAGUACAGCCUGCGGAAGUACCUCCUGCUGCUGGCCACCCUGGUGGUCAACGUGACGUACGCCGCGGGCUUCAACCCGCCGGGAGGGGUCUGGCAGGCCGCCUACGACGGCCAACCCGCCGGCGACCCCAUCAUCCGUGACACCCACUACCGCCGCUACCUCGCCUUCUUCUACUGCAACGCCACCGCCUUCGCCGCCUCGCUCGUGGUCAUCGUGCUCAUCCUCAUACUCGCCGUCCGGCACGACAAGGAGAAGGAGAAGGGGAAGAAGGACGCCGUCCAGGUCGUCAAGCCGCUGCGGGCUGUCAUGGUGCUGGACCUGCUCAGCCUGGUGGGCGCCUACGGCGCCGGAACCUGCCGGGACAAGAUCUCCAUCGUCUACUCCGUGGUGUUGGUGGCCAUUGUCUUCGUCUAUAUCAUGGUACUCAAGCUGAAGGAUUGCCGGUGCCCAGAAAGCCCCGACUCCGGUGACACGAUACCUCCGACGGAACACAAAGCCGAAGAACGGCUCUGCAAGGUCCUGAUGCUCCUGGCGACGUUCGUGGUGAGCGUCACGUACGUUGCCGGGCUGAGCACGCCAGGUGGCUUCUGGGACAGCAUCGGCACUACCUACCGCCCGGGCGAUGCAAUCCUCAAGGACCACCACAGCCUGCGCCUGACGGUGUUCCUGCUUUGCAACACCACGGCGUUCGUGGCGUCCUUGCUCAUCACCAUGCUGCUCAUCAUCGACGGCAAGAAGCUCCGCAAGAAGACGGCUCACUCUCGCGUGCUCUACGGGUGCAUCGUCGUUGCGCUUGUUGGCCUCGUUGGCGCAUACACCGCUGGCAGCUGCAGGAAGAGCGACACCACCGCCAGAUUGAUUGGCCUGGUCGGAGCCGUUCUGGCAAUGGCAUGCAUCCUACUCUAUGGUGGUUUCUAUACGCCAGUGCCAGAAAUUUCAUGUUCUUGUUUCAGUCCAGCAAAACGAACUGAUGAUGAUGUCAGCACUAAGGAGCUUCUGGAGAAGGCUCGCUCUCUUGUUCUACUGCUCGCCACUCUUGCUGCCACCAUCACCUACACAGCAGGGUUGGACCCACCGGGUGGUGUUUGGCAGGACAAUGGCGACGGACACAUGGCUGGCGACCCGAUUCUCCUCACAACCAAUGCUAAGAGGUACAAGGCCUUCUACUACUGCAACUCGGUUGCGUUUGUGGCGUCAUUGGUGGCCAUCGUCUUGGUCCAGAUGGAGAAGCUGGUCAAGCACCAUGUGCUGGAGGCAGCCAUGAUACUCGACCUGUUUGGUCUCAUUGGUGCAUAUGCCGCUGGGAGCUGCCGGAACGUGAACACCUCCAUUUACGCCAUGGCUUUGGCAGGGGCCGUCUUGGUCUAUGUGGUGAUCCAUGUUGUCUUCUUCACGCUGGAUCACACGGACAGGAACACCAGCGACCAAGAAGAUCAGUUGCUGGAGAAGAAGCGCAAACGGUUGCUCCUCUUUGCGAUCUUGACCGCGACCAUCACCUACCAAGCCGGCCUCACCCCUCCUGGCGGCUUCCUGCUCCAGGACGACAAGCUCGGCCACCAUGCCGGUGACCCGGUCCUCUUGUACAACUACCCACGUCGCUACCAUGCCUUCUUCUACUGCAACUCGGUGAGCUUCAUGUUGUCCAUCGCCCUCAUCAUCCUCCUGGUGAACCCCAAUCUGUACGGGCCAGCAAUACGAAGCAAUGCGCUAUCUGUCUGCACAGCGGUGGGCUUGUUUUGUUUGAUGGGGGCCUACUCCACCGGAAGCACGCAACACAUUAAGACAUCCAUCUACAUCUUCGCGUUGGUGGCUGUGGUCCUCUUUGUUGUAGCCAUACUGCUGCUAGUAUUUUUACUGAGAGGGGCGGACAAAAAUGGCACCAUAGGACAGGACGAAGAACAAGGGAGGAAGGUAAAAGAAAAGAAGGGGGAUGGGGAUCGAGAAGAAAGGAAGAAGCACGUGAGGUGCAAGUACCUGAUGCUGCUAGGCAUUCUGGUGGCGAGCGUAGCCUACCAGGCCGGCCUAGAACCGCCCGGCGGAGCAUGGCAGAGCAGCGGCAACGGGUACGAGGCGGGUAACCCAGUGAUGCACGACAACAGGAGGCCCAGGUACCUCACAUUCUUCUACAGCAACUCCAUCUCCUUCAUGGCUUCCAUAAUUGUCAUCAUCAUAUUGCUAUGGCAAUGGUUGCCAAACAAGGAUGAAGGAGAAUGGGAGAAACAGUCUCUGAGGGUGAUGAACUGGAUGAUCCGACUGGAUUUGGUAGCUCUCCUUGUGGCCUAUGCAGCCGGCUCCAACAGGGGGUGGAAGACGUCUGUUUACGUCGCCAUGCUCCUUCUUGCAGUGCUGGGCUACUUUGCAAUCCAUAUGAUACUAUCAUGUACGGUUUGUCACCGUAAGAAGCCCGAACGGAGAUUUGCAGCGAGAAGGCCCAAGGCACAUCUGAAGCGUAGCUAUACUAUGUGA